rnacentral:lncRNA from 1 species
GACGACCCCCGACGGCUCUUCCUGGGUCCGCACUACACGUGUCCCCUUGGCAGAGGGAAAGCGCGGCAGUCCUACUUUGCGUUCCCUUCGUUGUUUAUUCGUUUAGUCAUGUCCGACUCUUCGUGACCCCACGGACCAGAGCACGCCAGGCACUCCUGUCUUCCACUGCCUCCCGCAGUUUGAUCAAACUCAUGCUGUUAGCUUCGAGAACACUGUCCAACCAUCUCAUCCUCUGUCGUCCCCUUCUCCUUGUGCCCUCCAUCUUUCCCAACAUCAGGGUCUUCCCCAAAGAGUCUUCUCUUCUCAUGAGGUGGCCAAAGUAUUGGAGCCUCAGCUUCAGGAUCUGUUCUUCCAGUGAGCACUCAGGGCUGAUUUCCUUAAGAAUGGAGAGGUUUGAUCUUCUUGCAGUCCAUGGGACUCUCAAGAGUCUCCUCCAGCACCAUAAUUCAAAAGCAUCCAUUCUUUGGGCGAUCAGCCUUCUUUAUGGUCCAGCUCUCACUCAUCACUACUGGGAAAAUCAUACCUUUAACUAUACGGACCUUUAAAACCCCAUAUUAGAAAGCAUACAGAGGACGCGGCUCCCGGAGCGCUCACUGAGCACUUUGCCCUAUGGAAUCCACUGGGGAAGGAAGGCCAGUCAUUCAGCUGCCUAGGGUGCAAACCUGAGAGGGGGCACAGUUUUAUACAGAUGAGUUUUUGUUAUAUCUUAUAAAUUUCUGAUAACAUUUUGUUUUGUUUUUUACCUUUUGAAGAAUUUCAUCAUAUCUACCAGUCGUCUGUUUUUGGAAAUUGAAGUUAGCAAAGCGGGUCAGGGAGGGAGCAGGCAGGCGCAAGUGCUUAGCCUUGCCCAGGGCGCAAAAUAGUCUGGUGCCGGCGCUGCUGAGAACUUGCGUAACACGCGCUGGAUCGCUCAGGUUUGCUUACUUGGGAGUGCAGCCCCUCUUGGGGCUUCCUUACUUCCUAGUAAACGCGCACAGGACUGGGCUGUAACAACUACAGCUACAGCUUCUGGUUAGCCACUGUGGGGGCAGGAUGCUGGGCCUUUGGCCUAAUCCAGUGGACUCUUCUUAUGCCACUAUUUCAACAAGGCAAUCCUAUGCAUUCUACUUGGAAGUACGGUAAAAGCCUCAUUGAGUUUAAUGGGGUUUAGGUCAAGGUACAAGACUUCAAUCUCUUCAUCCCCGCCUACAGUGCUAAUAUUCUAGAAAAAGAGGUGCCGGAACUCACCAUGAAUGGCAAUUGCGCCCACCUGAGAGGUGCAGGAACUGAGUUCCUGUGAGUUUCCCCUGAAAAAGGUCCCCCCCCCCCAUCAGAGCAGCCAAUUUAAAUUGCUCAGAGCAUGGGUAGGCAAACUAAGGCCCAGGGGCCAGAUCUGGCCCAAUCGCCUUCUAAAUCCGGCCUGUGGACAAUCUGGGAAUCAGAGUGUUUUUACAUGAGUAGAAUGUGUGCUUUUAUUUAAAAUGCAUCUCUGGGUUAUUUGUGGGGCAUAGGAAUUCGUUCAUAUAUAUUUUUUCAAAAUAUAGCCCAGCCCCCCACAAAGUCUGAGGGACAGUGGACCGGCCCCCUGCUGAAAAAGUUUGCUGACCCCUGGCUUAGAGCACUGGUUCUCAAUGCUUGUGGCAGGAGAGGGAGGCAAGGAGAGGGUGGGAAGAUUCAAGGACAAAUAAACAUUUUAACAUUUCACUGUAUUGUAGUAUUGUAGCAAAAUGUUUAUCUUAUUUGCAGAAUAUGGAUAAAUGUCUUUUCAAAAUGAGAGCAAGAGCAUCAGGCGAUAGCAAGGACAAUCCUAGUUGUGAUCCAUAAUCACUCUUUGAACACAGUGGAGAAGACUUGCUUAAUGUGAAACCAGUGAGAUUACCCAGCAAAAGUAAGCUCACACCUCUCAUUGAGUUUGUAUACAUAUUUAAGGUGCUCAUAUAAAAAGAUCAUUUAUCAUUAUAGUUUGGGAAUGACUCAUGUUCUUUUGUAGCUGAUUGUGGCAUCCACUUUCUGGAUGUCCUGUAAUCAUGUUAUAAAGUAGUUGUGUUGUAGAUUAUAAAUCAAGCAGUGCUGAGAGUCGUUUCUUUUCAUUUCCCCAAGUAUUUCUUAUCAGUCAAAAAUCCGGUGUGGUGUGUGAGCAAAUUUUUAUUCUGAAGGUGUUGCCUGGAGAAAAAAAGUGUGAGAAGCACUGGCUUAGAUGGUUGUUUUCGUUGCUGCUGCUAUUGUGCAGUAUAUAAACCUUGUUAUAUAAAAUUAAAUAAACCAAGAGUGCUUUGAAGACUAACAAAUUUAUUGUGGG